UACGGAGGGAGCAAGCGUUACUCGGAAUCAUUGGGCGUAAAGGGCGCGUAGGCGAUUCGGUAAGUCUCAUGUGAAAGCCCACAGCCUAACUGUGGAAGUGCAUGAGAUACUGUCGAAUUUGAGUUCAGGAGAGGAAGGCAGAAUUCCCGGUGUAGCGGUGAAAUGCGUAGAUAAUCGGGAGGAAUACCAGUGGCGAAGGGCGGCCUUCUGGACGUGACACUUGACGCUGAGGCGCGAAAGCCAGGGAGCAAACGGG
rnacentral:rRNA from 1 species